rnacentral:lncRNA from 1 species
UCAGUCCAGUUCUUAUUGAAGAGAUACUUCUUUCUCUCAGGAAAUGAUGUGGUCAUGUAAUCGAUUACCAUGCCACAUGUAUCAGCUUAAGUGCUUGUAAAUAAGUCAAAUUAUUUAAAGUAUAAUAAUCUGCAGUAAAGGACUUCAGUUUGUUUUUUUCCAAAUUCAUCAUGAAAAGUUGCUGAUCACACAUUUUCAGCAAUAUGCGUACUUUAAGAUUAUAUAAAAUUACUUUUCAUGGACUAUAUUUAAUCUUCUGGAGAUAAACUGAAAAGAUGACUGUUUCAGUUGGCAGGACUGGUUGAUCAUUCAUCUCUCCUCAACAUUUGGAAAAAGAAAAGAAAGAAGACAAGACUCCUAAAGACUCUUGUAUCUGAAUUCUUUGAAGAAUGUUCUUACAUGUUUGUGUUUUGCAGUAUAUGUGGUGAAAAUAUC